UCCAUGCACCUGACAAUUGUUCCACCCCUCCCAUCACCUGCCGUGCACAGACACGGUUCUGGAUAGACGAAGUUUGAAAAGAAAGGUGAAGAGAAAAAGACAAUUCCUGAACCUUUACCGUCCCCCACACUAUCUUCACUUCGAUGCCCGGUGCCCAGGAGGUGCCAAGACUCUGCCUGAGAUGCCUUUUGAAAAGAUUUAUUGCUUCUUUUAGAUCGUGGGAAGAAUUACAGCUUAAUCGCAAGAGCUGCUGUUGCCUUGGUGUAAUAGGCAGCUUUCGGUACAGUCACAAAUAAUAGGCCCUGUCUGUUUGCCAGUCUGAGCCUGCUGGAAAUGAGUGUUGUCUCACAUCCCCAGAGGAGAUCUGAAUUAAAGCUUAAUUAUGCACCAUAAAUAUGUUUUAUUUUGGGCCCCAGGAGGUGGGAUUUUUGAUUUGGGGAGGCGUAGGGCCUAAUAAGGAGUCAGGAAAGAAGCCGUAAGCAGCGACUGAGCCCUUUAAUUUGUCCCUCCUCGGUGUGGUCCUGAACCAGCAAUCAGAUCCAGUGUGGGCUUCCCCCAGAGGCCUGUCCCUGGUGCCACCCUCUCGGGGCCGGCUCGGCGGGCAUAGUCACACCGCCAAGGCUACGAUCGGACCCGGAGCAGUCUGAUUGGUUUCUGGUGGUUAACCAUCCAAACUGCGCCAGACGCGGGAGCGAAGAAAUCAGAUGGGUCUCGAGAGAGGAUGGGAUUUUAUUGGUCGCUCACUCCUUUAAGUGCUAGAAGAAGGCCGGGUGAAGUGGCAGCAGCUGUCUUGGUCUUCCUGUUCCCCACCGCGCGUCACGCCUCCUGCCGUGGGUCACGGCGCUGCCCUCCGGAAGCUUACCGUCCCCCCGUCCCCACUCCCUGACCCCACUGUGCUGCGUCCUUCGCCGAGGGCGACUUACCACACGAGAAUACGGGCACGCGAUGGAGUCACGAUCCAGAGAGACCCCUCAAGCAUGACAGAUCUCUCAGCCCUUCCACUAGCCAAGCCGGGUCACCUUGGAUCAACGGCUUACCUCCUCAAAACCUGUGUUCUCUAGCCCUGCUCCUCCCAGGGUGGUCCUGAGACCAGCAGCAUAUGGCUGGCACCUGGCAGCUUCUUAGAAAUGCAGCCUUGCUACCCACUCAAACCUACCGCGUCAGAACCCGCAGUUGAUGGAGGUCCCCAGACAGCUUGGAAAGUUGUUGGAUGCCAGUGGACUUGCCUGGAAACCCAUCAAUCUUGGCCUUUCAGAGGACAUCUUCAACAGAAUUUAUUUGCCAGAGAGGACAACCCCAGAACUGGAGGACUUUAUUACCCUCUUUCUCAGCAGUAAAUUAUGCCAUUCAGAUGCUUUUGAAAGCUUCCCUUCAUGCUCUGGAUUGAGUCAUAAAAUUUGAUACCUGGGGCCAAAUGCCUUUAUCCCUCCCAGAAGGGUGAAGAAGAUGAAAAGGCAGCCAUUCUGGGCCAGUGCCACACAAAGCCAAUGACUGGGCAGAAAAUGUGGGCAGUGGAGACAGUUACUCUGCAUAAUUCACACCUCCUUGACCUGAUGUUCUACUCCAAAAUGGAUUUUAUCAUUUGCCUAAGAUCAUCAGACCCUGCAAAACCUGAACUGGCCACUUGGAAAACACUAGGUGUAAUCGGGACCACGAAGUUGAUUGCUGUCCUUACCUCUGAUGCCGGGAUUUUAGAUCUUGUGAAUUUCAAUAAACCCGCCACUCACCUGGAGAGGGUUUGCUGGGGCCCGCUUUCUCUGAUUUCUUUGGAGCCAUGGUACUUUUAUGUUUCUGCUUGACUGAUGUUUGGUCAAUUGCUGGAAGUCUGGAAUCACUCUUACACGCAGAACUCUUGGCAGAUAAUCUUGGUUCGGCUAGAGCUUCCUCCUCACCAGAACUCUACCGAAAAUGAAAGGUGUCUGAGUAUCUGUGGUCAAUAGGCCAUCUUUGCUGGGCAGAGGAAAAAGAGACAAGCCAAAUGCAGCAACCCCUCAACAAAGACACUGGAGCACCCUGCCAGCUCAAUGUGCCCUUUCACCAGUCAGAUUUUCAUGGACUGGGCGUAUCAAUUUAGAAAUAAUAGCAAAGUUAAUGAGUCUAUUUUGUAGAACAUUAUGAAAAGAAUGAAUU